UACAGAGGUCCCGAGCGUUGUUCGGAUUUAUUGGGCGUAAAGGGUGCGUAGGUGGCAAAGUAAGUUGGAUGUGAAAUCCUGGGGCUCAACCUCAGAAUUGCAUUCAAUACUGCUUAGCUAGAGAGCUGUAGAGGAGACUGGAAUUUACGGUGUAGCAGUGAAAUGCGUAGAUAUCGUAAGGAACGCCAGUGGCGAAAGCGAGUCUCUGGGCAGCAUCUGACACUGAGGCACGAAGGCCAGGGGAGCGAACGGG
rnacentral:rRNA from 1 species